AAGAGGGAAGGAGAAAGGAGGGGGGAGAAAGAAACGUGCUACACAUUGCACAGCCGAAAUUCACAGGCCGAGUCAAAGGCAAAACCUGGACUGGAUCUCUUCCUAGUCGGUAGAAAGGGGAAAAAAAGAAAAAGAAACGUACCUAUUUUCUUAUUCACUUCACAUCCUUUAUACCGAUCUGAAAUGACAUCAAUAAACAAUCUAGAAAGACAAGGUAAUUUUAAGUCAUUAACAUGUUAUUAAGCUGUAUUUUUAUGGAGGUAAAGGAUAACGCAGUUCCAAUUGUUGCUCUUAAUAUGUGUCCCUGACCUACUGAAACACAAAGCCAGAGUGGAAAUAGUCAUAGACGGGAGUUCAUGGGUGGCAGAGCACAAUCACGGCUCUAACUAGUUGCCUAAUUUCUGUUUGACUUUGUUUUUUUCUAAAGGCACACAUUACAGACUGGUAGUUCUUAAUUUUUAAAGGUUUGGUUCUAGACUCAACAAUUUCCCCUUUUUUUAUUUCAAAUAUCUCAUAGCCUUCGAUCAGAAAUCAUUAUGCUUAGGUUUCUAAUGUGUGGAGGAUCGGGAAAGCUAACAACCAGACCACAGAAGCAACAAGAAAAGGAGAGCACAAGGGUCAGAGGUGCAUAAAGGGACAUAAUGGGGGAAGGGAGGUGAUUCCUUCCCUCUCACUAGAUGCCCUCACAUAGUAGACUUAACAUUUUCUUCCAAGUUAACAUAAUUCUCAAGUGGAGAAUCAAUCCAAUUUCUUCUUCCUGUCUCCAUUUACACUGAUGUUCUGUGAACGGGAUAAAAGUGAAAAUUCAGGUUUGCCUAAUUGACUUUGUUAUGCUAAUGGACGCACUAAAGUCAGCUGGCAGAAGUGUGUGUUGAAACCCAGAGCUCCUGAAACUACUAAGAUAGUUUAAUGAAAACCAAGACAAAAUAAUAAUAAUAAUAGUGUUUAUUCACUUACGUGGCUAUGUGUCAUAGGUCAGCACAUUAUUCACAAACUACUACAAGGUAAUGCACAGUUUUGUGGAGCUCACCUAUGAAGCUACACAUGAAGAUGUUUUCCUGAUGAUGAUAUGAAUGACCAGAAUGACUCAUGAAGUUUAAAUCUUUGAGUUUGUCAUUAUCAUCACAACAUAUUAGGUACAUUGUCUUCCUCUCUUUAAUAAAUUCCCCCUCUCCUAACCACCAAAAAGACUCUCAAGAUUCAACCUCAUUUAACCUUUCCAAACGCUUUAAAAAUGAAGUCGACUUAUUUACAGAGCCACUUUGUCUUCUUCAAACUCAUAGGUCAAGACAAAACAAAACCAAAAAAAAAAAAAACAAAACAAAACAAAAAAAAAAACUCCAUAGCUAAAUCUUUCUGAAAACGCAACACACUUAACUUUUUUUCUCUUAAAAUUUUAGCACAGUUUUUUGCUUUCACAAUAUUUAUGCUAACUGGCAGAUCUUAAAUCACUGAACUUAUUUUCCCUCAAGUCGGAAAUCAAGAUAAAAUAUAUUCUGGUUAUGUUUGUGGACAAACGGUGAGGUUGAUAGGCUCAGGAAUUGCAGUCAAGUUAUUACUUCUGUCAUAUUUGACAACGUGACUUCCUUCAAACUUCUCUUUGUAUCAUAGUAAAGCAUUAUGCACUCCAGAGGAAGAGGGUAAAAACACACACUUCCUGUCCUACCACCUUAUCCUGGGACUCAUUGUAAUUUACCCUGACUCAGUAUAGCAGAUAAUUCAUUAUUUUAAAUGGAGGUAAAGGAAGAAUGGGUAAAAGCAUAGUAUAUGUGGUUUUAAAUUAUUUGAAGAUCAGCUAAUUGUUAAGUAUUGAAUGAGCACUCAAUACAACUUUAUAGCACUAGACUAUUGCACACCGUCCCUAUACUUAUAAAAUGAUCUUAGGAUUUGUGGCAAAGAUAUUACAUGAGACGAAUGACUAAAUAGAUUAGUUUAAUUCCAUCAGGAGAGUCAAAUAGUUUAGGGUAGGUUUGUGAACUCAAGUCAGACCAAAGAAUUAGAUAACUUGCUUUACUGGUGACCUUAACCCUGCCUGGUCCAUUUGUUGAGUAAUGUCACACUGUUUGCAGUGGUGUAAGAGACAAAGUCAAACAUUCCAGUUAACACUGAGAGCCACAGCAGGAGCCUAGACAAGGGAUUGGAAUGAGAAUGGAAUGUUAUGGAAGUUCCUGGAAGAGGCCUGACCAGACAGGAGAGAGGUCAUAUGGAGGAGCAGGCAUCUGGUUUAGACAAAAAGGUCAGCUAAUGGCUGGAAUCCUAGCUGUAGUAUUCAUCUUGUGUGUAGUAGGAAAAAAGAAU
rnacentral:lncRNA from 1 species